UUUGUAGCUUACGUCCGUCACGUACACAAUCGAAAGCAAUUAAUAUGUGCCAAAGUAAACUGCAUUUCGCAAAAAAACGUAAGCGUGCAGGUCUAGUUCAAUGAGUAAUUAUUAAUCGAGUGCCGUUUCUGUGAGCCGGACAAUGCCUGCAGCGUUCAAAAGGCAACAAGCAAGUUGGACAGCUUCUGUUCGUCGUCACUUUUCAAUGGCUGUAUGUGCGUGCAUCGCGAAAGAACGUUUGGUUUUCCUGACUAGACAAACCCGAUAUAUAGUGGUUUUAUCUUUAUUUAGUGUGUAUGAUUAGUUGAAAUAUAUAUAAUAUCAAAUCAAUAUCAAA